rnacentral:SRP_RNA from 2 species
GGGCGGGACCGGCGCGGCGGAGCCCUGCGAACCCCGUCAGGUCCGAGAGGAAGCAGCGGUAAGGAGGUCGCUUCGGGUGUUGCCGGCAAACCUGCCCGUA